UACGUAGGGUCCAAGCGUUAUCCGGAAUCACUGGGCGUAAAGCGUGAGUAGGUGGCGUGUUAAGUGUGAUGUUAAAUCGCGGGGCUCAACCCUGUCGGUGCAUCGCAUACUGGCAUGCUAGAGGGAAGCAGAGGCAAGUGGAAUUUGUAGUGUAGCAGUGAAAUGCGUAGAUAUUACAAGGAACACCAAUGGCGAAGGCAGCUUGCUGGGCUUCUUCUGACACUGAGGUACGAAAGCGUGGGGAGCGAACAGG
rnacentral:rRNA from 1 species